CCUACGGGAGGCAGCAGUAGGGAAUCUUCCGCAAUGGACGAAAGUCUGACGGAGCAACGCCGCGUGAACGAUGAAGGCCUUCGGGUCGUAAAGUUCUGUUGUUAGGGAAGAACAAGUGCUAGUUAAAUAAGCUGGCACCUUGACGGUACCUAACCAGAAAGCCACGGCUAACUACGUGCCAGCAGCCGCGGUAAUACGUAGGUGGCAAGCGUUGUCCGGAAUUAUUGGGCGUAAAGCGCGCGCAGGCGGUUUCUUAAGUCUGAUGUGAAAGCCCCCGGCUCAACCGGGGAGGGUCAUUGGAAACUGGGAAACUUGAGUGCAGAAGAGGAAAGUGGAAUUCCAAGUGUAGCGGUGAAAUGCGUAGAGAUUUGGAGGAACACCAGUGGCGAAGGCGACUUUCUGGUCUGUAACUGACGCUGAGGCGCGAAAGCGUGGGGAGCAAACAGGAUUAGAUACCCUGGUAGUCCACGCUGUAAACGAUGAGUGCUAAGUGUUAGAGGGUUUCCGCCCUUUAGUGCUGAAGUUAACGCAUUAAGCACUCCGCCUGGGGAUACGGUCGCAAGACUGAAACUUAGAAAUUGAACGUUGCGGNGNGAGACGAGCGACGACGACGGAGAGGGAG
rnacentral:rRNA from 1 species